rnacentral:rRNA from 1 species
UACAGAGGUCCCAAGCGUUGUUCGGAUUUACUGGGCGUAAAGGGGGCGUAGGGGGUCGGGUAAGCCUGUUGGGAAAUCUCCGGGCUCAACCCGGAAAUGGCAUUGGAUACUAUUCGGCUAGAGAGUUGGAGGGGGGACUGGAAUUCUUGGUGUAGCAGUGAAAUGCGUAGAUAUCAAGAGGAACACCAGUGGCGAAGGCGAGUCCCUGGACAACUUCUGACGCUGAGGCACGAAAGCUAGGGGAGCAAACAGG